rnacentral:lncRNA from 1 species
CUCUAAUACCUGUAAUGUAAUGCCAACCCAGAAACCAUCUCUUUAAAAUAACCCUCUCUGUGCUAAAUUACUAAAUAAUGAAUCAGCAAUGAUACCAGGGAUGGAAUCUCCCCCCCUCCCUGAACCACUGACACACUGCAUCCACUACACUGACACACACUCUGCAUUCACUACACUAAAACACUACAUCCACUACACUGACACACACUCUGCAUUCACUACACUAACACACCCUCUGCAUUCACUACACUGACACACACUCUGCAUUCACUACACUAAAACACUGCAUCCACUACACUGACACACACUCUGCAUUCACUACACUGACACACACUCUGCAUCUACUAAACUAACACACCCUCUGCAUUCACUACUCUGACACACCCUCUGCAUUCACUACACUGACACACACUCUGCAUUCACUACACUAAAACACUGCAUCCACUACACUGACACACACUCUGCAUUCACUACACUGACACACACUCUGCAUCUACUAAACUAACACACCCUCUGCAUUCACUACUCUGACACACCCUCUGCAUUCACUACACUGACACACACUCUGCAUUCACUACACUGACACACACUCUGCAUUCACUACACUGAGACACUGCAUCCACUACACUGACACACACUCUGCAUUCACUACACUAACACACCCUCUGCAUUCACUACACUGACACACACUCUGCAUUCACUACACUAACACACUGCAUCCACUACACUGACACACACUCUGCAUUCACUACACUAACACACCCUCUGCAUCCACUACACUGACACACACUCUGCAUUCACUACACUGACACACACACUGCAUCCACUACACCGACACACACUCUGCAUCCACUACACUGACACACACUCUGCAUUCACUACACUGACACACACUCUGCAUUCACUACACUGACACACACACUGCAUCCACUACACUGACACACACUCUGCAUUCACUACACUGACACACACUCUGCAUUCACUACACUGACUCACUCUGCCUUCACUACACUGACACACACUCUGCAUUCACUACACUAAAACACUGCAUCCACUAUACACACACACACUCUGCAUCCACUACACUGACACACUGCAUUCACUACACUGACACACACUCUGCAUUAACUAUACACACAGCAUCCACUACACAAACAUCCUGUAUUCACGGUACACACACUACAUCCACCACACAUUCAAACACUCUGCAUUCACUAUACAGAGACACUGCGUCUAAUACACACACAACAUCCACUACAGACACUACAUCCACUAAACACAUUGCGUCUAAUACACACAAACACCAAAUCCAUUACACUAACACACACUACAUCACUGUACACACACUACAUCCACUACUCAAACACACUCUACAUUUACUAUACACAUUGCAUCCGCUACACAAACACACACUCUGCAUUCACUGCACAAACAUUAUCUAAUACACACAAACACUACAUCCAUUACACACAUUCUAAUUAACUUCCACUAUACACACCACAUUCAGUCGUGCAUCACUGACAGCGGACUAGGUAGGAGUCCUGUGGGCGGUCUCGUGGGUGGGGGGGCACACCUUGUGCUUUGUCAGGGGCCCCAAAGUUUCUGAUGGCAGCCCUGCAGGUCUGUGUCUUAUAAUAUCCUGGG